ACAGCAGCAGCCGCGGGAAUACAGAGGGUGCGAGCGUUAAUCGGAUUUACUGGGCGUAAAGCGUGCGUAGGCGGCUUUUUAAGUCGGAUAUGAAAUCCCUGAGCUUAACUUAGGAAUUGCAUUCGAUACUGGGAAGCUAGAGUAUGGGAGAGGAUGGUAGAAUUCCAGGUGUAGCGGUGAAAUGCGUAGAGAUCUGGAGGAAUACCGAUGGCGAAGGCAGCCAUCUGGCCUAAUACUGACGCUGAGGUACGAAAGCAUGGGGAGCAAACAGGAUUAGAUACCCGCGUAGUCCCUGUCUCUUAUAC
rnacentral:rRNA from 1 species